rnacentral:tRNA from 1 species
GCUUCUGUAGUGUAGUCCGGUCAAACUCAACCGUGAAAAUCUUGUGAGGAUCAAGCAUUUGAGGCUCUCACCCUCGCGACCCGGGUUCAAAUCCCGGCAGAAGCA